rnacentral:lncRNA from 1 species
GAGGAAUGUGGUGAUCGAUAUCAUGGCAGGCUUCACCAUGGUAUCCUGUAUCGACGUUAGACUAUCGUUUAUUUCUGCUAUUUUGAACUCUGAACUCUACUUUUAUGCAUUUGAACAUUUAGUUUGUAAUAACUUAGUGUGGGACCUGUAAUAAUUAUCUGGAUUGUUGAAAUCUCUAGACUCGUCUUCGUGUGAGAAUGUUUUAUUUCGAUCCGAGACAAGUGGUUUAUCGAGUGAAAGUUGAUAGACAACCAUUUUAAUU